AGGUACAGAGAUGCCCAAGGCCAUAUGUUAUUAAAGUUGCUUCAAUGAAAAAAUACAGGAGAAAUGAAUCACUCAAGAACUGAAUCAGAACUCUCAAUGGAAGAUGUUCAGCAGAGAGUGAGUGGGGUGUGCUGGCGAAGAACAGACGGACCCAACCCUAGAGAACCUUUUCCGCUGCGGUAGAACUGCAUCUCCAAGUCCCUUGACAAGAGCACAGACAAGCAUCAAUGAUUCGUACCGAGUCCCCGUGGAAUACAAGGAGACUAUUUCUCUAAAUCUCUUUUUGGUUCAUUUGGAGAGUUUGCUGCACUCGUCUGUAGAGGUCUUCAUGCAACUCUGUAGUGCGAUGAUCCCCAUUAAGAGAAACAGCCCAGGAGGCACUCGAGGAUAAGAGGGUGCUUCAGAAUUUGAUGCCACUUCUCUAAGACAAACUCUACAGCACUUGUUCUUGUUUGCAACCCCAAUGUGAAAAAUGUUUCCUGUCUUGGCUUCUCCAUGUUGAAGGCCACAGAAAUCCAUCCCAAUAUGACUCCACAGCGAGACCUUGGUGCCGUGUCCUGUGAAUCCUGCCCGGAAUUGCUGUUUUAUUGAGGCAAUAUUCUCUCUAAAUAAUAAUCAGACUUUUAUUGCGUCGUUCAUGCUCGGAGCUGGGGGAGUUUCUUGCACCAUUGGUUUAUUGUGCCCCGGUUGCUCUUUUCAACUCUGUUCUCUAGUUGGAGGAAAAUCCAGAAGUAAAAAGCAUAUGAGCCUGUAUUUAUCAUUAUUUACCAUUUGAUCAUUUGAAGCAACAUGACAUUAUCCCCACACUUACUUCUCUCCAUAUGCGUUUCAUGAGAAUAAUUUAAAUAUUUUAUCACAUUUAAAAAAUUCUCUAUCAAAAGUUGUUGAUCCCUGAAGACACAAUCCCAAAAAUGGCAUAUGGGGCAAAAUUGGUUUCAAGUUUUUGGAUGUAGACAUGGAAAAUAAUUUGAUUUUUGAUGAAUCAGUGCCAGGUGCAUAAAUUCUGCUUACUUUUAUUUUCUAAUUAUUAUAAGAUUGAAACUGCAAAAUGGAACCCCAUAUAAUUAUGUAAAGAUAUGGUUGAUGUAAGAUUUUUAUUUGUUCCAGUUGCAGUUUGCAAUCCAAUUGUAAAAUAUAAGCUGGGGGAGUUUCUUGCACCAUUGCUUUAUUGUGCCCCAGUUUCUCUUUUCAACUCUGUUCUCUAGUCUGAAGAAAAUAUAAAUUAACAAAGCAUUUAUUUGAGAUUAUGUCCAUCAUUAUUUACCAUUUGAUCAGUUUAAGCAACAUUGGAUACCAGCACUUCCAACCUUUGUUUCAUGAUAAAAAUUUAGAGCUCUGCUUUAAUCAAAUCUACAAAAAGUCACCAUUAAAAACAGUUGUUGUUUUUUUGAAGACACCGUCCCAGAAGGACCUACAGGAGUAAAACUGGCAGCUUCAAAAGUUGUUAGAUCUAGACAUGCAAAACAAUUAGCAUAUUGUAAGAUUGAAAUUGCAAAAUGUAUUUUUAGUAACCCAUUUAAUUACGAAAAGAUAUGGUUAGUGUCAAAUUUGUAUUUGUUUGCCUGUUUGUUCCAAUCGCAAUUCACAAUCCAAUUGUGAAAUAUAAGCUGGGGAGU